CUGCUGCCUUCCGUAGGAGUUUGGGCCGUGUCUCAGUCCCAAUGUGGCCGUCCACCCUCUCAGGCCGGCUACUGAUCGUCGCCUUGGUGGGCCGUUACCCCGCCAACAAGCUAAUCAGACGCGGGUCCAUCUUACACCACCGGAGUUUUUCACACAAAUCCAUGCGGCUUCGUGCGCUUAUGCGGUAUUAGCACCUAUUUCUAAGUGUUAUCCCCCAGUGUAAGGCAGGUUACCCACGCGUUACUCACCCGUCCGCCACUAAGUA
rnacentral:rRNA from 1 species